rnacentral:rRNA from 1 species
UAAUACAUGCAAUCGAGCGAGCUUGCCUAGAUGAUUUUAGUGCUUGCACUAAAUGAAACUAGAUACAAGCGAGCGGCGGACGGGUGAGUAACACGUGGGUAACCUGCCCAAGAGACUAGGGAUAACACCUGGAAACAGAUGCUAAUACCGGAUAACAACACUAGACGCAUGUCUAGAGUUUGAAAGAUGGUUCUGCUAUCACUCUUGGAUGGACCUGCGGUGCAUUAGCUAGUUGGUAAGGUAACGGCUUACCAAGGCAAUGAUGCAUAGCCGAGUUGAGAGACUGAUCGGCCACAUUGGGACUGAGACACGGCCCAAACUCCUACGGGAGGCAGCAGUAGGGAAUCUUCCACAAUGGACGAAAGUCUGAUGGAGCAACGCCGCGUGAGUGAAGAAGGGUUUCGGCUCGUAAGCUCUGUUGGUAGUGAAGAAGAUAGAGGUAGUAACUGGCCUUUAUUUGACGGUAAUUACUUA